rnacentral:lncRNA from 1 species
CGUCUUUUCCAGCUACCAACAAACCUGUAGGCCUCAGAUGGUCCUAAUGCACUGAUGCGGUGGAGUAAGAACGAAGCAGAUAAGACAAGUCCAAACAAGUCCAGAUGGCGGCACAUGCGGGAGGACAUAUGUCCUUAAAGUUGGACUAAGACUUGGAGAUCAACUCAAGAGCAUCGUUCUAGUGACCAUUGUUAGGACUCCAAUGUCCUCCCCACAGCAGGUGGGACCUACCUGAGACAGACAGAAAAGACCUCAAAAGCCGAGGCUGAGAACAACCGAAUGCACUGAAUAAAGACCCUCUCUGUGGACUAGGCUUGUCCCUGGGUAUAGAGUGGAACGUCACUGUCAGUUAAGGAUUAAUCCUUCUCAUCUAUAGUGGUUUGAGUAAGCAAUGUCCCCCAGGUGUUUGAACACUUGGUCCCCAGUUAGUGGCAAUGUUUGGUGAGGUUAUGGAACCUUUAGGAGUUGGAGCCCUGCUAGAGGAAGUGCGUCACUGGUGGGUCGGGCUUUCAGAGUAUACUCCCUCAUUCUACUUAGGGUUUCUCUGUGUGUACC